CAAUAGCGUAUAUUAAAGUUGUUGCAGUUAAAAAGCUCGUAGUUGGAUUUCGGGGCAGCCUGGCUGGUCCGCCGCAAGGCGAGGACUGGUCAGCCGCCCUUCCUCUCGAAAGCCCCGACUGCUCUUUAUUGCAGUGGUCGGGUAGUUCGGGACGUUUACUUUGAAAAAAUUAGAGUGUUCAAGGCAGGCCUACGCCUGAAUACAUUAGCAUGGAAUAAUGGAAGAGGACCUCGGUCCUAUUUUGUUGGUUUCCAGGACCGAAGUAAUGAUUAAGAGGGACAGUUGGGGGCAUUCGUAUUUAAUUGUCAGAGGUGAAAUUCUCGGAUUUAUGAAAGACGAACAACUGCGAAAGCAUUUGCCAAGGAUGUUUUCAUUAA
rnacentral:rRNA from 1 species